CUCGUAGGCGGCCAACUAAGUCCGACGUGAAAUCCCAAGGCUCAACCUUGGAACUGCGUCGGAUACUGGAUGGCUUGAAUUCGGGAGAGGGAUGCAGAAUUCCAGGUGUAGCGGUGAAAUGCGUAGAUAUCUGGAGGAAUACCGGUGGCGAAGGCGGCAUCCUGGACCGACAUUGACGCUGAGGAGCGAAAGCUAGGGGGGCAAACG
rnacentral:rRNA from 1 species